rnacentral:rRNA from 1 species
UACGUAGGUGGCAAGCGUUGUCCGGAAUUACUGGGCGUAAAGGGUGCGUAGGCGGUCUUUCAAGCCAGAAGUGAAAGGCUACGGCUCAACCGUAGUAAGCUUUUGGAACUGUAAGACUUGAGUGCAGGAGAGGAGAGUGGAAUUCCUAGUGUAGCGGUGAAAUGCGUAGAUAUUAGGAGGAACACCAGUAGCGAAGGCGGCUCUCUGGACUGUAACUGACGCUGAGGCACGAAAGCGUGGGGAGCAAACAGGAUUAGAUACCCUCGUAGU